rnacentral:rRNA from 1 species
UUAUAUGGAGAGUUUGAUCCUGGCUCAGGACGAACGCUGGCGGCGUGCCUAAUACAUGCAAGUCGAGCGGACGGAUGGGAGCUUGCUCCCUGAAGUCAGCGGCGGACGGGUGAGUAACACGUGGGCAACCUGCCUGUAAGACUGGGAUAACUCCGGGAAACCGGGGCUAAUACCGGAUAACUCUUUUCCUCACAUGAGGAAAAGCUGAAAGAUGGUUUCGGCUAUCACUUACAGAUGGGCCCGCGGCGCAUUAGCUAGUUGGUGAGGUAAC